CAACAAUCUUUCGUCCACCUUCUCCACUGCAUUGUCGAAGAAAAUUCUAGUAGUUCUGCCUCCUCCUUUGAAUCAUAUUUUAGCUCGACUGGUCUUCACUGUUACCUAAUUUAGAUAUUGUGAUGUAUCUUUCCCUUGAAACAUUCUAAAGCUCCAUCGGUUCUACUUGGAAGGAACAGGAACGAGGACUUGAAAACUCUACUUUGUCCACUAGUCAAGGAAUAGGAAUGAUGCAUAAGAACUUCACGGCUUUUGAGAAAUAAAACAUACAAAUUAAUAAUUCAUUUCCUACAUCUACUAAUCAAGUAAAGAAAUAUACCCAAGAAGUUGAAACAAGUACGAUCUUUUCAAAUGUAUUGUAUUUUUUUAAAAAUCAAUUGUGUGUUCAAGUUUUUGAGCUCAAAGAUAUUUUCCUGGUUUGUGUUAUUUGACAUGUUUGACAUGGAUGUAAAGGGCGGGAAAGAUGGAAAGCCACUAGAUUUGACAACUAUUUUCUUUUAGACUUGUAAGAAAGAUAACAAGCUUG